AUUAUUUUGAGCAUAUUGGAGUCAAAUGUUCUUGUGCUUUUGGGUCAAUAGUGGUGUACGUCUUGGAGCUCUGGAAUGGAAACCUUCUGCAUUUAGUACGUGCCUUACUGUGUUCACUGAAAUCUCUGUUGCCACCAUUUAAGGGUUUUUCACAACUUGCCUUACCAGUAAUCUGGUUGCAGCCAUUGAUAGCUUCCUUUUUAU